AGUAAGGUCAAUGUCCACAGGGCAGAUGGCCAAGAAAAUGGAGCCCAUGGUGCCUAGGGAAAUGAACAUGUGCCCUCAACCUCAUUUACCAAGCUUUCUGCUAUGAAACCCUUACUCCGCUGGAAAAUGUGCAUGGCUAGGAAGAAUAACAGUCACCUCCAGUGUCACCACCCAGGCUGCUGGCCACCUGCUUACUGUUGGGAUUACAGCUGUCACCACCAAAUCUGUUAUCCUUCGCUGGGGAGGGAACCCAGGCACUAUUCACGGUGGCCCCUUUCACAUGAUGCUGUCAGAUACAAUCCCCAGGAUCUACUGGAAGAGAGUCCUGGAGUCACAGGCACUUAUGUUAGGGACAAACGUCUAACCGAGGUGCCUAUUAACAUCUCAAAUCACCUGGCCACCAGGACGGCAGUAAGCACCUGUUACAGAGUCCUGGCUCCUCGGCCCUUCUCCCCCUCGGCCUUACCCUAAACGUCUGCAUCCCGAGCUUUGCUUCCCUUCCCCCAG